rnacentral:rRNA from 1 species
GAUGAACGCUGGCGGCGUGCCUAAUACAUGCAAGUCGAGCGAACAGACGAGGAGCUUGCUCCUCUGACGUUAGCGGCGGACGGGUGAGUAACACGUGGAUAACCUACCUAUAAGACUGGGAUAACUUCGGGAAACCGGAGCUAAUACCGGAUAAUAUAUUGAACCGCAUGGUUCAAUAGUGAAAGACGGUUUUGCUGUCACUUAUAGAUGGAUCCGCGCCGCAUUAGCUAGUUGGUAAGGUAACGGCUUACCAAGGCGACGAUGCGUAGCCGACCUGAGAGGGUGAUUGGCCACACUGGAACUGAGACACGGUCCAGACUCCUACGGGAGGCAGCAGUAGGGAAUCUUCCGCAAUGGGCGAAAGCCUGACGGAGCAACGCCGCGUGAGUGAUGAAGGUCUUCGGAUCGUAAAACUCUGUUAUUAGGGAAGAACAAAUGUGUAAGUAACUAUGCACGUCUUGACGGUACCUAAUCAGAAAGCCACGGCUAACUACGUG